rnacentral:rRNA from 1 species
ACUCAAAGGAAUUGACGGGGGCCCGCACAAGCGGUGGAGCAUGUGGUUCAAUUCGAUGCAACGCGAAGAACCUUACCCGGGUUUGAACUGAGACUGAAAGCCUCAGAGAUGAGGACCUCUAGCAAUAGACAGUUUCAGAGGUGCUGCAUGGCUGUCGUCAGCUCGUGUCGUGAGAUGUUGGGUUAAGUCCCGCAACGAGCGCAACCCUUGCUUUUAGUUGCUCGCCUGAAAGGGCAGCACUCUAAAUAGGACUGCCGGUGAUAAACCGGAGGAAGGUGGGGAUGACGUCAAGUCAUCAUGGCCUUUAUGCCCGGGGCUACACACGUGCUACAAUGGCCGGUACAAAGGGUCGCCAAACCGUAAGGUGGAGCCAAUCCCGCUAAAGCCGGCCUCAGUUCGGAUUGUAGUCUGCAACUCGACUACAUGAAGUUGGAAUCGCUAGUAAUUGCGGAUCAGCAUGCCGCGGUGAAUACGUUUCCGGGCCUUGCACACACCGCCCGU